rnacentral:rRNA from 1 species
UAGAGUUUGAUUAUGGCUCAGAUUGAACGCUGGCGGCAUGCCUUACACAUGCAAGUCGAACGGCAGCACGGGAGCAAUCCUGGUGGCGAGUGGCGAACGGGUGAGUAAUGUAUCGGAACGUACCUUUCAGUGGGGGAUAACGUAGCGAAAGUUACGCUAAUACCGCAUAUUUGUGAGCAGGAAAGCAGGGGAUCGCAAGACCUUGCGCUGAUUGAGCGGCCGAUAUCAGAUUAGCUAGUUGGUGAGGUAAAGGCUCACCAAGGCGACGAUCUGUAGCGGGUCUGAGAGGAUGAUCCGCCACACUGGAACUGAGACACGGUCCAGACUCCUACGGGAGGCAGCAGUGGGGAAUUUUGGACAAUGGGCGCAAGCUGAUCCAGCCAUGCCGCGUGAGUGAAGAAGGCCUUCGGGUUGUAAAGCUCUUUCAGCCGGGAAGAAAACGCAUGGGUUAAUACCCUGUGUGGAUGACGGUACCGGAAUAAGAAGCACCGGCUAAUACGUGCCAGCGCCGCGGAAUUC